AGAGUUUGAUCCUGGCUCAGGACGAACGCUGGCGGCGUGCCUAAUACAUGCAAGUCGAGCGGACCCUUCGGGGUUAGCGGGGGACGGGUGAGUAACACGUAGGCAACCUGCCUGUAAGACUGGGAUAACUACCGGAAACGGUAGCUAAGACCGGAUAGCUGGUUUCUUCGCAUGGAGGAAUCAUGAAACACGGCGCAAGCUGUGACUUACGGAUGGGCCUGCGGCGCAUUAGCUAGUUGGUGGGGUAACGGCUCACCAAGGCGACGAUGCGUAGCCGACCUGAGAGGGUGAUCGGCCACACUGGGACUGAGACACGGCCCAGACUCCUACGAGAGGCAGCAGUAGGGAAUCUUCCGCAAUGGACGCAAGUCUGACGGAGCAACGCCGCGUGAGUGAUGAAGGUUUUCGGAUCGUAAAGCUCUGUUGCCAGGGAAGAACGCCCGAGGGAGUAACUGCCCUGGGGUGACGGUACCUGAGAAGAAGCCCGU
rnacentral:rRNA from 1 species